rnacentral:siRNA from 1 species
CCCAACUGGAUCCUACCCGAACC